UCUGGUUGAUUCUGCCAGUAGUCAUAUGCUUGUUUCAAGGACUAAGCCAUGCAUGCCUAAGAAUAACUGCUAUGCAGGAAUCUGCGCAUGGCUCAUUACAUCAGACGCAAUCUGCCGCAAAAACCUUGCGGUCAACGCAUAUCGGAUAACUUGGCGAAACGCCAAGCUAAUACGUGAAUAAUGGAUCCCUUCCACCAACGCGGCUUGCCGUAGCGAGGGGUAUCUGGCGAAUGAAUGACAUUAAAAUCAUCGCUCUUUACGGAGCAGCAACACCAAGCAGUGUUGAAUCAAUUCAUUCCGUGCGAAAGCCGGCUUGCCGGCGCUUUUUGAUGAACAACUGCCCUAUCAGCCAGUGAUGGCCGUGUAGUGGACUGCCAUGGCGUUGACGGGAGCGGGGGAUUAGGGUUCGAUUCCGGAGAGGGAGCCUGAGAAACGGCUACCACUUCUACGGAGGGCAGCAGGCGCGUAAAUUGCCCAAUGACAAAAAAUGUUGAGGCAGCGAAAAGAAAUAGAUCUCUUAGCACCCUUCACGGGUACUGGGAGUUGCAAUGGGGGAUAUUUAAACCCAUCCAAUAUCGAGUAUCAAUUGGAGGACAAGUCUGGUGCCAGCACCCGCGGUAAUUCCAGCUCCAAGAGCGUAUAUUAACGCUGUUGCUGUUAAAGGGUUCGUAGUUGAACUGAGGGCUGUCAAGGAGACGGAUCCGUCCCAUCCACCGGAUCGGUGACCUCCGCUCUUGCUGCCCGUGAACGUCAGAAACAAACAUCGCGGGAACGCUUCCCUCCAUCCACGCAUGCAACGUAUGCAGGAGGGCGCCCGUGUGUCUUACUGUGACUAAAAAAGCGCGACUAAAGCAGUCGAUCGACCUGAAUUUGAAAGCAUGGGAUAACAACAGCCACCUACGGGUUACCGUUUCGGCUUUUGUUGGUUUUAAAGAUCUGUGGGAGAUUAUGGAUGUCGCAUGACCGGCGGUUUCGGGGUUUGUCCUCACGCCUCCGCUUCGGCGGCUUGCGCGUCCUUGAAUGAAGGAGGGUUGUUCGGGGGAGAACGUACUUGAGCGUGAGAGGUGAAAUUCUUAGACCGCUCAAAGACGAACUACAGCGAAGGCAUUCUCCAAGGAUACCUUCCUCAAUCAAGAACCAAAGUGUGGAGAUCGAAGAUGAUUAGAGACCAUUGUAGUCCACACCACAAACGAUGACCCCCACGAAUUGGGGAGUUUUCGGUGGCGUUGGGGCGGGUCCGCCCGUUCCCUUCUCCUCCGAGAAAGAAUACAAUUUACGUGCAUAUUCCAAGCCGGUCUUCGGAUCGGUGUUACGGGAAUAUCCUCAGCACGUUCUCUUUUUCCACGCGAAAGCUCGAGGUUACAGUCUCAGGGGGGAGUACGUUCGCAAGAGUGAAACUUAAAGAAAUUGACGGAAUGGCACCACAAGACGUGGAGCGUGCGGUUUAAUUUGAUCAACACGGGGAACUUUACCAGAUCCGGACAGGGUGAGG
rnacentral:rRNA from 1 species